AGAACGAACGCCGGCGGCAUGCCUAAUACAUGCAAGUCGAACGAACUCUUCGGAGUUAGUGGCGCGCGGGUGCGUAACGCGUGGGAAUCUGCCCCUUGGUUCGGAAUAACAGUUGGAAACGACUGCUAAUACCGGAUGAUGACGAAAGUCCAAAGAUUUAUCGCCAAGGGAUGAGCCCGCGUAGGAUUAGCUAGUUGGUGAGGUAAAGGCUCACCAAGGCGACGAUCCUUAGCUGGUCUGAGAGGAUGAUCAGCCACACUGGGACUGAGACACGGCCCAGACUCCUACGGGAGGCAGCAGUA
rnacentral:rRNA from 1 species